rnacentral:rRNA from 1 species
CUACGGGUGGCUGCAGUGGGGAAUAUUGGACAAUGGGGGAAACCCUGAUCCAGCCAUGCCGCGUGUGUGAAGAAGGCCUUUUGGUUGUAAAGCACUUUAAGCAGUGAAGAAGACCUAACGGUUAAUACCCGUUAGCGAUGACAUUAGCUGCAGAAUAAGCACCGGCUAACUCUGUGCCAGCAGCCGCGGUAAUACAGAGGGUGCAAGCGUUAAUCGGAAUUACUGGGCGUAAAGCGAGCGUAGGUGGCUUGAUAAGUCAGAUGUGAAAUCCCCGGGCUUAACCUGGGAACUGCAUCUGAAACUGUUAGGCUAGAGUAGGUGAGAGGGAAGUAGAAUUUCAGGUGUAGCGGUGAAAUGCGUAGAGAUCUGAAGGAAUACCGAUGGCGAAGGCAGCUUCCUGGCAUCAUACUGACACUGAGGCUCGAAAGCGUGGGUAGCAAACAGGAUUAGAUACCCUAGUAGUC